GCGCGCGGGUGCCGGUGCUGCGCGACGAGACUGGCGGUCGUGAGCUGGACUGGCCGUUCGACGCGGCCCGUGUGCA
rnacentral:tRNA from 1 species